rnacentral:rRNA from 1 species
GAUGAACGCUAUCUACAGGCUUAACACAUGCAAGUCGAGGGGCAGCAUUUCAGUUUGCUUGCAAACUGGAGAUGGCGACCGGCGCACGGGUGAGUAACACGUAUCCAACCUGCCGAUAACUCGGGGAUAGCCUUUCGAAAGAAAGAUUAAUACCCGAUGGUAUAAUCAGACCGCAUGGUCUUGUUAUUAAAGAAUUUCGGUUAUCGAUGGGGAUGCGUUCCAUUAGGCAGUUGGUGAGGUAACGGCUCACCAAACCUUCGAUGGAUAGGGGUUCUGAGAGGAAGGUCCCCCACAUUGGAACUGAGACACGGUCCAAACUCCUACGGGAGGCAGCAGUGAGGAAUAUUGGUCAAUGGGCGCAGGCCUGAACCAGCCAAGUAGCGUGAAGGAUGACUGCCCUAUGGGUUGUAAACUUCUUUUAUAUGGGAAUAAAGUUUUCCACGUGUGGAAUUUUGUAUGUACCAUAUGAAUAAGGAUCGGCUAACUCCGUGCCAGCAGCCGCGGUAAUACGGAGGAUCCGAGCGUUAUCCGGAUUUAUUGGGUUUAAAGGGAGCGUAGGUGGACAGUUAAGUCAGUUGUGAAAGUUUGCGGCUCAACCGUAAAAUUGCAGUUGAUACUGGCUGUCUUGAGUACAGUAGAGGUGGGCGGAAUUCGUGGUGUAGCGGUGAAAUGCUUAGAUAUCACGAAGAACUCCGAUUGCGAAGGCAGCUCACUGGACUGCAACUGACACUGAUGCUCGAAAGUGUGGGUAUCAAACAGGAUUAGAUACCCUGGUAGUCCACACAGUAAACGAUGAAUACUCGCUGUUUGCGAUAUACAGUAAGCGGCCAAGCGAAAGCAUUAAGUAUUCCACCUGGGGAGUACGCCGGCAACGGUGAAACUCAAAGGAAUUGACGGGGGCCCGCACAAGCGGAGGAACAUGUGGUUUAAUUCGAUGAUACGCGAGGAACCUUACCCGGGCUUAAAUUGCAUUUGAAUAUAUUGGAAACAGUAUAGCCGUAAGGCAAAUGUGAAGGUGCUGCAUGGUUGUCGUCAGCUCGUGCCGUGAGGUGUCGGCUUAAGUGCCAUAACGAGCGCAACCCUUAUCUUUAGUUACUAACAGGUCAUGCUGAGGACUCUAGAGAGACUGCCGUCGUAAGAUGUGAGGAAGGUGGGGAUGACGUCAAAUCAGCACGGCCCUUACGUCCGGGGCUACACACGUGUUACAAUGGGGGGUACAGAAGGCAGCUACCUGGUGACAGGAUGCUAAUCCCAAAAGCCUCUCUCAGUUCGGAUCGAAGUCUGCAACCCGACUUCGUGAAGCUGGAUUCGCUAGUAAUCGCGCAUCAGCCAUGGCGCGGUGAAUACGUUCCCGGGCCUUGUACACACCGCCCGUCAAGCCAUGAAAGCCGGGGGUACCUGAAGUACGUAACCGCAAGGAGCGUCCUAGGGUAAAACUGGUAAUUGGGGCUAAGUCAUA